AUGAACGCUAGCGACAGGCCUAACACAUGCAAGUCAGGGGCAGCACAAGGAGCAAUCUGAGGUGGCGACCGGCGCACGGGUGAGUAACACGUAUGCAACCUGCCUGUAAGCGGGGAAUAACCCGUUGAAAGACGGACUAAUACCGCAUAAUACUAAAUUACUGCAUGGUAAUUUAUUUAAACAUUUAUGGCUUACAGAUGGGCAUGCGCAUGAUUAGCUAGUUGGAGAGGUAACGGCUCCCCAAGGCAACGAUCAUUAGGGGUCUGAGAGGAAGGUCCCCCACACUGGUACUGAGACACGGACCAGACUCCUACGGGAGGCAGCAGUGAGGAAUAUUGGUCAAUGGACGAGAGUCUGAACCAGCCAAGUCGCGUGCAGGAAGAAUGUUCCCUAUGGAUUGUAAACUGCUUUUGCAGGGGAAUAAAGUGCAUCACGUGUGAUGUUUUGUAUGUACUCUGCGAAUAAGGAUCGGCUAACUCCGUGCCAGCCGCCGC
rnacentral:rRNA from 1 species